GCGCCCAUAGCUCAAUUGGACAGAGUAGCGGUCUACGAAACCGUUGGUUCCCCGUUCGAAUCGGGGUGGGCGCGCCA
rnacentral:tRNA from 1 species